rnacentral:lncRNA from 1 species
GAAAUGUUUGGGAAAGUAUGAGCAGUCACAAUGUGUGGCUAGUUUUUAAGAUUAAUUGGUUCAUUCAUUAGGUUUAUUGUAAAUAUUUCAGAUUUAACUGAAUUUCAAAUUAAAGCCAAAUACUGGAGUUUAAAAUAUAUGUGUAUUUAACAAUGACAACAACAAAAAAACACAUAGAUACAGAGAUCAGAUUGGUGGUUACCAGAGGGGAAGGAGGAAGGGAGGAAGGUGAAAGGGGUGAGUAGGCACAUGUGUAUGUUGAUGGAUGGUGAUUAGUCUUUGGGUGGUGAACAUGAUGUAAUCUACACAGAAAAUGAAGUAUAAUGAUGUACACCUGAAAUUUAUAUAAUGUUAUAAACCAAUGUUACCUCAAUAAAAAAAGUCAAAUAAAUAAAUAAUAAAAUAUUUGUGUACUGAAAAUUUUAAAAAUCAGAACUGUCCUUUUCAGCUCACAUUAUGAAGAUUCCAAUAUGAUUUCUAUUAUUUGGAGCAAUAGCUCGGAAUUUUUUGUUCUUUUGCAGAAGUUUAAAACAAACAAAUAAAAUGAACAUGUUUCUGAAGUGUUUGUUCUUCAAUCUCCCAGAAGACUGUCACUGAUAAGAUAUUAUACCAAGAAGAAAAAUAACCCCAGGCAGAAGGAGUGGGAUUCUAGAAACAAAGUCUCUUUUACAGACUUUCAAGAAUAGUGGGGUACAGAAUUGGGAGCUAUAACGGACCCACACAUCACUGGAAAUUGCCAUUCAAGAAUCUAGAUGGCUAAGAGCUGACACAGCAGCCAUCGCUUGCUUUCACAACUGUGGAGCUAGCGGGUAUUCACGCCAUCGCCAAAGGCUUCUGUCCUUAUUAAUCACACGUCUGAAGGAACAGAUCAUUGCUAAGGGACUACAGGUUAAGGAUAGCCUGUGCAGCUGGAUUCUGAGAAGCCACUUGCUUUUGAAUGGCCAUGGAUGUGGGCAAUAUGACUAGUAGGAACUGCUUUUAAAACUCAAGGUGCAAGUAAGUUCAACACUGUCCUUUCCCAAUUAGGUGCUACCUGAUCUGCCAUCAGGAAAUCCCUUUAAGGAUUCCUUCUCCUAACUGUCUAGACACACAUGAAAUACCUGGAGUCUGAUUCUUCUGUUGUUGCUUUUGUCUCUGCCACAUACUAUCGCUCCUGAAAACCAAUUUGAGAAGACUGCAGUCUGAGAGAAGAUGCUGGUCCCCUGUGGCAAUAACAGCCCCCCUUGCCAGUCCAGAACUGCACAGGCCACGUUGUCCUGUGGGGCAGGAUGAUCCAAUGUCCUCUGACUAGGCCUGCACUAUACCCACACUCCCAAAAUUGCAGAGCCCCAUGUCCAUUCUCAUAUAAAGCCUCCUAAGGACCAAGUCUAACCAGAGACAAGGAUUUCUUCUGGAAUAGCCCUUUCACACACCCAGAACUGCUGUCCUCCUUCCUCCUUCAAGGAUCUCUAGUUCUCCGACAACUUCUGAGGAUAUGCUCGUAUUUACCCUGCACCCACCCUGCUGGGAAGCUGCUGUGGCUGCAUAUAACUUGUUCUUCCUGAGUUAUAUCAAAGGGCCCAAACAAACCCUCUCAGAGGGGCUGU